GUGGGGAAUUUUGGACAAUGGGCGCAAGCCUGAUCCAGCCAUGCCGCGUGCAGGAUGAAGGCCUUCGGGUUGUAAACUGCUUUUGUACGGAACGAAAAGACUCUGGUUAAUACCUGGGGUCCAUGACGGUACCGUAAGAAUAAGCACCGGCUAACUACGUGCCAGCAGCCGCGGUAAUACGUAGGGUGCGAGCGUUAAUCGGAAUUACUGGGCGUAAAGCGUGCGCAGGCGGUUAUGUAAGACAGAUGUGAAAUCCCCGGGCUCAACCUGGGAACUGCAUUUGUGACUGCAUAGCUAGAGUACGGCAGAGGGGGAUGGAAUUCCGCGUGUAGCAGUGAAAUGCGUAGAUAUGCGGAGGAACACCGAUGGCGAAGGCAAUCCCCUGGGCCUGUACUGACGCUCAUGCACGAAAGCGUGGGGAGCAAACAGGAUUAGAUACCCUAGUAGUCC
rnacentral:rRNA from 1 species